rnacentral:lncRNA from 10 species
GGGAGGCUUGAGGUGAGAGUAGGAGACAUAAAGUGAUAUGAAAAAGCUCUCUGUGGGUGAGAAACCAAACUGAUCAGCACAUAGCUUCUCCCCUUCUCUUAUCUUCAUGUAAUAAUUUCCAACAGGUAAAAUGAUUGAGUCGUGGGUCCUGGCCACAUCAAUUCCUCAUUUGUCCCUCAUAACAACUUCAGGGAAGGUAAAGCAGGGAUAAAGAUACAAGCUCGGUGUGGAGAUUCCUUAAAGAACAAAAAGUGGAACUACCAAUUGAUCCAGCAAUGCCACCACUGGGUAUCUACCUGAGGAAAACAAGGCAUAUGAAAAAGUGAAUGGGCCUGGCCUCUGCCUCCAGUCACAGCUCCUUCUCAGUGAAGACACAAGAACUGGCCGAGAAGACCAGCAAAGAUGGGCAGGUGGCUUCUCCCUGUUGGUGUUCAGAGAAAGAAGGGAAAAGGAAUAGCUGCCACUGCAUUGGUACAAGAGCUCCAACACUCCAGAUUUUAUUUCUUAAUUUCCACAUCGAGAAACUGAGAUGACAAUUUUAUUUUUCUACACACAACAGCAGAUAAGCUAUAUUCCAAAGAAUCAUUUGUAAAUUGGCUGGUUGAAUGCAGAACCCAGUGUCCACAGGAAGUAAUGUCCUAAAUGUCCAUCAGAUGCCCAGGCUAGCCCACAAAAGCUAGAAGGAAGAAGGUCAUCAAAAUACUAUAGGAUUUUGUUCAAAUAUGUUUGCAAAGUAAUGCUCUUACCACAGUAGAAACUAAAUCCAUUGGAAACAUAAUAAUGUUGAAAAAGACUUCAUUUUCUACUUAUGAAUAUUGACACUUGAUGAAGAACUGUGUUGUGUGUAAUUAAAGCAGGAUGAGUAGGAAGUUUUUUUGGCAAUAUUUCUAAGAGGAAAGUCUGGGAACUUUCAGGAAUUACCUGAUUUCACUUUGAUUUCAAAGUGAAAUGGCCACGUCCCUUGUCUUGAUAAGUGUCUGUACCCUGAUGAUUAUAGUAUGUGCUGACCAUGAUUACAAUUGCUUCUUGAUUCACAGUGAAGGAAAAUGGGAAGACUUUCCUGGGGAAGUCAGGCAGAAAGAAGUUGGAAAGUAAAAGAAAGAAUGAAAGGGGUCAGCCGUAAUAAUAAUGCCUGGCCUUUCCAUUCUUUUCUGUGUGAUGCUAUGUUACCAGCAUCCUCACUUCCUGAGCUCAGGGUCCUCCCUCUGGGCCUCUAGCUACAAACAGAAAACAAAGCCACCUUAAACUACUAGCUAGAAUUGGUUACCACGUAGUCAUUUGAUAGAUUCUCCAACUCUGUUUUUUCAGUUACUGAAUGUUUGAUAAAUCAACUCUUAUUUUGUUCCCCUGCAUGGUUUUAGUCAUGGCAGAGAUAUUAUCCAGAAGCUCUUUAGCUGUGGAAAUGAAGAAACUUGCUUCAACCUCAUUUCUUUACAAGGACAGUGAUGUAGCCCAGGAUGAGGCAUAAUGACCACCUGUCAGGAGCGAGAGGCUGUCACACUUCAGGAAAUACAAGUGACAUCAUUCAAGUAGUGGGGACAUUUGUUUCCUGAAGGCUGCAUUCAUUUCUUAGCCCGAGACAGGUGGGCUUCAGGGAGACUGAGUAUCCUUGUGUCAUGCAGCAGGAAUCUCAGAGGUUCUAAAAGAUCACCUGGACAGCUCCAUUUCUUGCUAGUCUGUCUUACCAUAUGACAAGGGCUGACUCACAGACAAGGUCGCAAGGAGAAUAAAAAAGAUCUAGUGUGACAAAUGUCAGAUGGUCUGUGGGGAGGCAGGUGACCUGUGACCCCACCAAACGUCUCUGAAUGGUGCUUCUAGAAGCUUGGGUGAAUGAGCUUGAUGCAUUCUCAGGCUAAGCCAGCUUCUCCAGGGGCCUGAGCUACUCCCACAGUGCAUGCUAGGUUGCAGCAGCUGUUGUGUUGAUUCUUCUAACGUCAAGACCCAGCUUUGUCUUGUAUUAGUUCUAUGACAUUGUGCAAGUGGCUAUAAUCACCAAGUCUCCAUUUUCUCAUUUUUAAGAUGAUAAUAACACAGCUCGAGUUUUUGGUGUUAGGGAUUAAAUCAGGUAGCUGUAUAAAAAUAGUACAUAGAGGAGAUAAAUAACUUCUCACAGGUGCUGAAUUCAGGGAAUCUCUCUGAAGUGUGGGAGAGAUCACCUUUGACAUUGUGAAAACCGAGAUGCACAUCUGAGAGAUUUGGGCACGACUCUGUUGCAAAUCUAAACUGUCAACAUCACAGACUCAUACUAUAUGAGCUCUAGAAAGAACCUUUGAGAAAAACUUGCCCAACUCACUUGUUUAUGGAUGGAUUCUCAUCCAUGAGAUGAAGGAAUUUACUUGUUUGUCAGUCAUUGCAACUGAGUUGCUUGCUCAUCAGUUGUUUAAAAAUGUAUUCUCAGCCAGACAUGGUGGCUCACACCUGUAGUCCCAGUACUUUGGGAGGCCGAGGUGGACUCAUUUGAGGUCAGGAGUUCAAGACCAGCCUGGCCAACAUAGUGAAACCUGUCUCUACCAAAAAAUACAAAAAUUAGCCAGGAAUGGUGGCUUGCACCUCUAGUCCCAGCCCUCAGGAGGCUGAGACAUGAGAUCGCUUGAACCCAGGAGGUGGAGACUGCUGUGAACUGAGAUCACGCCAUUGCACUCCAAGCUGAGCAACAGAGUAAGACCCUGUUUCAAAACAAAAAACAAAAAUAAAACAAAACAAAAAAAAAAACAACAUAUACUCAAUAAAUAUUCAAUGAAUUUGUUAACUCAUCUGAGGACACAGAACUAAAAAGAAAAAGCUCAAACUAGAAUUCCAUUUUCUUCUGACCUACAGAGAAUAGGUUUACUGUAGUGGGUAAGAGUAAUCCAGAUCUUGGUUCAAAUCUUGACUCUGCCCCGAAGUUGUGCAAUCUCAGGCAAGUUAUUUAACUUCUUAUUAGUAAAAUGAGGAUAAUUGUAUCUAUCUCUCAAAGUGUUAUUGCAAGAAUUAAACAAGAUCAUGGAGAUCGAGCAUGGGGCUCUUUCUGUUACAAAAGAUCACAUAUUAACAAUGACCCAGACAAAAAACAAGUGGGUCAAAAAUCUGGAUAUUCAGUUGGCAUCACAUGAAGCCUCUAGAUAUUUGGUAAUAGCAAAGUGAACUGAAUUUCUAAGUUUGUCAUCAUGUCCUGGCUGAUAUCUACACUGCCUCUUCCAGGGCAGUCAUACCUGACAUGUCACCCAGGCCUUCGUGGGCUUUAGCUGCCCUCCCCAGGGCAGUCAGCACCAUGCUGGCAAGAGUGCAGGUCCGUGCUCAGGAGAUGGGGCACCAGAAACCCUCCCCUAUCUGGACAAGUCACUGAAGCCCCUGAGCCUCCAUUCCCUCAUCUGUGAAAAGCAGGUAACAGUGCCUUCCAUACAGGGAUAUUGUGAGGGAUGGAUAGCAUCAUUAUUCUGGAAAGUGUACAGCACUUUAAAAGCAGGAGUGAGUUUUAAUGU